rnacentral:rRNA from 1 species
GGCUGAAAUUCGCCUUCAUGAAGUCGGAAUUGCUGUAAUGGCAGGUCAGCAUACUGCCGUGAAUACGUUCCCGGGCCUUGUACACACCGCCCGUCACACCAUGAGAGUUGGAGAUACCCGAAGCCUAUGAGCUAACUUUUAGAGGCAGUAGUCGAAGGUAGAAUCAAUGAUUGGGGUGAAGUCGUAACAAGGUAGC